CCUACGGGAGGCAGCAGUGGGGAAUAUUGCGCAAUGGGCGAAAGCCUGACGCAGCGACGCCGCGUGAGGGAUGAAGGUCUUCGGAUCGUAAACCUCUGUCAGCAGGGAAGAACGGUCACUGGGCUAAUCAGCAGUGAAUUGACGGUACCUGCAAAGGAAGCACCGGCUAACUCCGUGCCAGCAGCCGCGGUAAUACGGAGGAUGCGAGCGUUAACCGGAUUUAUUGGGUUAAAGGGGUGCGUAGGCGGAUUGUUAAGUAAGCGGUAAAAUCUCCGGGCUCAACCCGUGCCGGCCGUUGAAACUGGGAAGCUUGAGUGGGCGAGAAGUAGGCGGAAUGCGUGGUGUAGCGGUGAAAUGCAUAGAGAUCACGCAGAACUCCGAUUGCGAAGGCAGCAUGCCGGCGCCCGACUGACGCUGAGGCACGAAAGCGUGGGGAUCGAACAGGAUUAGAUACCCCUGUAGUC
rnacentral:rRNA from 1 species